rnacentral:rRNA from 1 species
AUUGAACGCUGGCGGCAUGCCUUACACAUGCAAGUCGAACGGUAGAGUAGCAAUACUUGAGAGUGGCGAACGGGUGAGUAAUAUAUCGGAACGUGCCCAGUCGUGGGGGAUAACGUAGAGAAAUUUACGCUAAUACCGCAUACGAUCUAUGGAUGAAAGCGGGGGAUCGCAAGACCUCGCGCGAUUGGAGCGGCCGAUAUCAGAUUAGGUAGUUGGUGGGGUAAAGGCUCACCAAGCCAACGAUCUGUAGCUGGUCUGAGAGGACGACCAGCCACACUGGGACUGAGACACGGACCAGACUCCUAUGGGAGGCAGCAGUGAGGAAUAUUGGACAAUGGGCGCAAGCCUGAUCCAGCCAUGCCGCGUGCAGGAUGACGGUCCUAUGGAUUGUAAACUGCUUUUAUACUAGGAAGAAACACUCCGACGUGUCGGAGACUUGACGGUACUGUAAG